rnacentral:rRNA from 1 species
CACCGCCCGUCACACCCUGGGAAUUGGUUUCGCCCGAAGCAUCGGACCAAUGAGCACCCAUGACUUCUAUGUACCACUAGUGCCACAAAGGCCUUUGGUGGUCUUAUUGGCGCAUACCACGGUGGGGUCUUCGACUGGGGUAAAGUCGUAACAAGGUAGCCAUAGGGGAACCUGUGGCUG